AAUCCAUAGGUUAAUGAGGCGAACCGGGGGAACUGAAACAUCUAAGUACCCCGAGGAAAAGAAAUCAACCGAGAUUCCCCCAGUAGCGGCGAGCGAACGGGGAGGAGCCCAGAGCCUGAAUCAGCAUGUGUGUUAGUGGAAGCGUCUGGAAAGGCGCGCGAUACAGGGUGACAGCCCCGUACACAAAAGCGCAUGUGCUGUGAGCUCGAUGAGUAGGGCGGGACACGUGGUAUCCUGUCUGAAUAUGGGGGGACCAUCCUCCAAGGCUAAAUACUCCUGACUGACCGAUAGUGAACCAGUACCGUGAGGGAAAGGCGAAAAGAACCCCGGCGAGGGGAGUGAAAAAGAACCUGAAACCGUGUACGUACAAGCAGUGGGAGCCCCACCACCAAAGCAUUCUCUGGUGUUGAAGGCCCUGCAAAGCAGCAUCGCGGUGGCGGAGCGUCGUUUGCGACGCCCAACACACAAAACAAGCGGUGAGUGCUUUGGGGUGGGGUGACUGCGUACCUUUUGUAUAAUGGGUCAGCGACUUAUAUUCUGUAGCAAGGUUAACCGAAUAGGGGAGCCGGAGGGAAACCGAGUCUUAAU
rnacentral:rRNA from 2 species